rnacentral:tRNA from 1 species
GGGUUUGUAGCUCAAUUGGUUAGAGCACCCGGCUCAUAACCGGGCGGUCCUGGGUUCAAAUCCCAGCGAACCCA